rnacentral:rRNA from 1 species
AUGUUCCUGAUAGGCGAUACACCUCUGGCUCAUGCCAUUAUUGCUGGCACUGUGGACACUUUCCAGUAUCUUCUUGAUCACGGUGCUAAUCCAGAUAAGCCCGAUGAAAAAGGGUCUACGCCUCUCCAUUUGUCUGCUUCAGGAGGAAAUUGUGAAAUAGUAAAAGCCUUGCUCUCAGAAGGGGCCAAUGUUGAUUCAUUGUGUGAUACUGGGACACCACUGCACAUGGCUGCUUUCUGUAAGCAGGUUGGUGCUAUGAAGAUUUUGUUGGACCACCAUGCAGAUUGUAACAAGGUAUUCAACACUGCCUAUUCACCUCUUAUUGUGGCUCUCAAUGUUGGCUCGCUGAAAUGUGUGAAGCUUCUGAUUAAGGCUGGCGCUGAGGUGAAGGGUGUUGGCACUGUAACCCCCUUAACAAUUGCUGCCACAGGCUUAACUGACUUCUACAAGUGCUCACUGUAA